CCUACGGGAGACAGCAGUGAGGAAUAUUGGUCAAUGGCCGGAAGGCUGAACCAGCCAUGCCGCGUGAAGGUCAGUGCCCUAUGGGCUUUAAACUUCUUUUGUGCGGGAGCAAUAAUUGUCACGUGUGGCCAGACGAGAGUACCGUACGAAUAAGCAUCGGCUAACCCCGUGCCAGCAGCCGCCGUAAUACGGGGGAUGCAAGCGUUAUCCGGAUUUAUUGGGUUUAAAGGGUGCGUAAGCUGUGAGGUAAGUCAGCGGUGAAAUGCCCCGGCUCAACGGGGUGAAGUGCCAUUGAUACUGCCUUGCUGGAAUGCGGAUGCGGUAGGAGGAAUGUGUGGUGUAGCGGUGAAAUGCAUAGAUAUCACACAGAACACCGAUUGCGAAGGCAGCUCACGAAUCCGCGAUUGACGCUGAUGCACGAAAGCGUGGGUAUCAAACAGGAUUAGAUACCCUAGUAGUC
rnacentral:rRNA from 1 species